rnacentral:rRNA from 1 species
AACGAACGCUGGCGGCAUGCCUAACACAUGCAAGUCGAACGAUACCUUCGGGUCUAGUGGCGCACGGGUGCGUAACGCGUGGGAACCUGCCCUUAGGUUCGGAAUAACUCCCCGAAAGGGGUGCUAAUACCGGAUAAUGUCUUCGGACCAAAGAUUUAUCGCCUUUGGAUGGGCCGGCGUUGGAUUAGCUAGUUGGUAGGGUAAAAGCCUACCAAGGCGACGAUCCAUAGCUGGUCUGAGAGGAUGAUCAGCCACACUGGGACUGAGACACGGCCCAGACUCCUACGGGAGGCAGCAGUGGGGAAUAUUGGACAAGGGGCGAAAGCCUGAUACAGCAAUGCCGCGUGAGUGAUGAAGGCCUUAGGGUUGUAAAGCUCUUUUAACCGGGAUGAUAAUGACAGUACCGGGAGAAUAAGCUCCGGCUAACUCCGUG